rnacentral:rRNA from 2 species
GGAUGCGAUCAUACCAGCACUAAAGCACCGGAUCCCAUCAGAACUCCUAAGUUAAGCGUGCUUGGGCGAGAGUAGUACUAGGAUGGGUGAGCUCUUGGGAAGUCCUCGUGUUGCAUUCC